rnacentral:rRNA from 1 species
GAUGAACGCUGGCGGCGUGCCUAAUACAUGCAAGUCGAGCGAAUGGAUUAAGAGCUUGCUCUUAUGAAGUUAGCGGCGGACGGGUGAGUAACACGUGGGUAACCUGCCCAUAAGACUGGGAUAACUCCGGGAAACCGGGGCUAAUACCGGAUAACAUUUUGAACCGCAUGGUUCGAAAUUGAAAGGCGGCUUCGGCUGUCACUUAUGGAUGGACCCGCGUCGCAUUAGCUAGUUGGUGAGGUAACGGCGCACCAAGGCAACGAUGCGUAGCCGACCUGGGAAGGUGAUCGGCCACACUGGGACUGAGACACGGCCCAGACUCCUACGGGAGGCAGCAGUAGGGAAUCGUCCGCAAUGGACGAAAGUCUGACGGAGCAACGCCGCGUGAGUGAUGAAGGCUUUCGGGUCGUAAAACUCUGUUGUUAGGGAAGAACAAGUGCUAGUUGAAUAAGCUGGCACCUUGACGGUACCUAACCAGAAAGCCACGGCUAACUACGUGCCAGCCGCCGCGGUAA